UCUGAAAUGUUAUAAAGCCUGGAUGAUUACAGAAGAGCAGCAAAACCUAACGAAGAGGAACAGAUGGGAUAUCAAGUAUCAAAUCCAUACCUUGACGAGAUCCUGAGGCCGAUAGUCAUGCUAUUCAUCUGCCGCCAUCACCUCAUGUUUCAACAUGAUAAUGCACAGCCCCCAUGUCGCAAGGCUCUAUACACAAUUCCUGGAAGCUGAAAAUGUCCCAGUUCUUCCAUGGCCUGCAAACUCGCCAGACUACAGCGUGUUCCAGUUCCCGACAAUAUCCAGCAACAUCACACAGCCAUUGAAGAGGAGUGGGACAACAUUCCAGAGGCCAAAAUCAACAGUCUGAUCAACUCUAUGCGAAGGAGAUGUCGCAUUGCAUAAGGACAAUGACCCAACACACCUCCAGGCUGUGUAAGGGCAAUUUGACCAAGAAGGAGAGUGAUGGAGUGCUGCAUCAGAUGAUCUGGCCUCCACAAUCGCCAGACCUCAACCCGAUUGAGAUGGUUUGAAAUGAGUUGGACCGCAGAGUGAAGGAAAAGCAGCCAGCAAGUGCUCUGCAUAUGUGGGAACUCCUUCAAGACUGCUGGAAAGCAUUCCAGUUACCAGUCAGUGACCAUUUUUCCUAAAGAGAGUCGCAGCCCAAUGACAGCCGAGGUCGAGGAUACUCUAGUAUGAGUCGAAGGACCAGUAGCAGCCCAAUGACAGCCGAGGUCGAGGAUACUCUAGUAUGAGUCGAAGGACCAGUAGCAGCCCAAUGACAGCCGAGGUCGAGGAUACUCUAGUAUGAGUCGAAGGACCAGUAGCAGCCCAAUGACAGCCGAGGUCGAGGAUACUCUAGUAUGAGUCGAAGGACCAGUAGCAGCCCAAUGACAGCCGAGGUCGAGGAUACUCUAGUAUGAGUCGAAGGACCAGUAGCAGCCCAAUGACAGCCGAGGUCGAGGAUACUCUAGUAUGAGUCGAAGGACCAGUAGCAGCCCAAUGACAGCCGAGUUCGAGGAUACUCUAGUAUGAGUCAAAGGACCAGUAGCAGCCCAAUGACAGCCGAGGUCGAGGAUACUCUAGUAUGAGUCGAAGGACCAGUAGCAGCCCAAUGACAGCCGAGGUCGAGGAUACUCUAGUAUGAGUUGAAGGACCAGUAGCAGCCCAUGCGACCGCAACAAGUACGCCUGCUGCUCCUACGGGGGCAACAUGUUCGUUCUGGGAGGGAGAGCGUGCCACUCGCUUAGGGACUUCUGGAGGUAUAGUGUCGGACAAUGACCCAAAACACACCUCAAGGCUGUGUAAGGGCUAUUUAUUUGACCAAGGAGAGUGAUGGAGUGCUGCAUCAGACGACCAGGCCUCCACAAUCACCCGACCUCAACACAAUUGAGAUGGUUGGAAUGAGUUGGAUUGCAGAGUGAAGGAAAAGCAGCCAACAAGUGCUCAGCAUACAGUUGAAGUCAGAAGUUUACAUACACCUUAGACAAGUACAUUUAAACUCAGUUUUCACAAUUUCUGACAUUUAAUCCAUUCCCUGUCUUAGGUCAGUUAGGAUCACCACUUUAUGUUAAUAAUGUGAAAUGUCAGAAUAACACUAGAGAGAAUUAUUUAUUUCAGCUUUUACUUCUUUCAUCACAUUCCCAGUGGGUCAGAAGUUACCAUACACUCAAUUAGUAUUUGGUAGCAUUGCCUUUAAAUUGUUUAACUUGGUCAAAUGUUUUCGGGUAGCCUUCCAAAAGCUUCCCACAAUAAGUUGGGUGAAUUUUGGCCCAUUCCUCCUGACAGAGAUGGUGUAACUGAGUCAGGUUUGUAGGCCUCCUUGCUCGCUCACGCUUUUUCAGUUCUGCCCACAAAUUUUCUAUAGGAUGGAGAUCAGGGCUUUGUGAUCGCCACUCCAAUACCUUAACUUUGUUGUCCUUAAGCCAUUUUGCAACUUUGGAAGUAUGCUUGGGGUCAUUGUCCAUUUGGAAGACUCAUUUACGACCAAGCUUCAACUUCCUGACUGAUAUCUUGAGAUGUUGCUUCAAUAUAUCCACAUCAUUUUCCUUUCUCAAGAUGCCAUCUAUUCUGUGAAGUGCACCAGACCCUCCUGCAGCAAAUCACCCCCACAACAUGAUGCUGCCACCCUUGUGCUUCACAGUUGGGAUGGUGUUUUUCGGCUUGCAAGCCUCCCCCUUUUCCCUCAAACAUAACAAUGGUCAUUAUGUCCAAACAGUUAUAUUUUUAUUUCAUCAGACCAGAGGACAUUUCUCCAAAAAGUAUGUUCUUUGUCCCCAUGUGCAGUUGCAAACCGUAGUCUGUUUUUUUAUGGCAGUUUUGGAGCAGUAGCUGCUGAGCUGCCUUUCAGGUUAUGUUGAAAUAGGACUUGUUUUACUGUGUAUAUAGAUACUUUUGUACCUGUUUCCUCCAGCAUCAUCACAAGGUCCUUUGCUGUUGUUCUGAGAUUGAUUUGCACUUUUCACACCAAAGUACUUUUAUCUUUAGGAGACAGAACGCUUCUCCAUUCUGAGCGGUAUGUCAGCAGCAUGGUCCCAUGGUGUUUAUACUUGCGUACUAUUGUUUGUCCAGAUGAACAUGGUAACUUCAGGCAUUUGUAAAUUGCCAGACUUGUGGAGGUCUACAAUUUUUUUUCUGAGGCCUUGGCUGAUUUAUUUUGAUUUCCCCAUGAUGUCAAGCACAGAGGCACUGAGUUUGAAAGUAGGCCUUGAAAUACAUCCACCGGUACACUUCUAAUUGACUCAAAUGAUGUCAAUUAGCCUAUCAGAAGCUUAUUAAGCCAUGACAUAAUUUUCGGGAAUUUUCCAAGCUGUUUAAAGGCAAAGUCAACUUAGGUUUUGUAAACUUCUGACCCAUUUGAAUUAUGACACAAUGAAUUAUAAGUGAAAUAAUCUGUCUGUUAAAACUCAUUUUUCAACCAGCACACAUUUCUUGUUAACGAACUAUAGUUUUGACAAGUCGGUUAGGACAUCUACUUUGUGCAUGACACAAGUAAUUUUUCCAACAACUGUUAACCUGUUGAGUGUAGGGGGCAGUAUUUUGAUGUUUGGAUGAAAAACGUACCCAAAUGAAACUGCCUAUUUCUCAGGCCCAGAAUCUGAAUAUGCAUAUAAUUGUCAGAUUAUUAUAGAAAACACUCUAACGUUUCCAAAACUGUCUAAAAUAUUGUCUGUGAGUAUAACAGAACUGAUAUUGCAGGCGGAAACCUGAGGAAAAUCCAACCCGGAAGUGCUGUUUUUCCUGAAAGCUCUCUGUUCCAUAGCCUGCCUUUGCUCCAUUUAAAGGGAUAUCAACCAGAUUCAUUUUCCUAUGGCUUCCCCAUGGUGUGAACAGUCUUUAGAUAUAGUUUCAGGCUUUUAUUUUGAAAAAUGAGCGAGAAAGAUCACAUCACAUUUUGAUGGCUGGGUGCCAGCAGCUUUUUGCAUGCGCAACAGCUUGGAGCAGACAUUUUCUCUCUCUCUCCUAUUGAAGAAGCUACAGUCCCGGUUGAAAUAUUAUCGAUUAUAUAUUGUAAAAACAACCUGAGGAUUGAUUAUAAAAAACGUUUGACAUGUUUCUACGAACUUUACGGAUACUAUUUGGAAUUUUAGCUUGCCCGGACUUGACCGCUCGAGCCUGUGGAUUUCUGAACAUAAUGCACCAACCAAAUGGAGGUAUUUUGGAUAUAAAAAUAAUCUUUAUGCAACAAAAGGAACAUGUAUUGUGUAACUGUGAGUCUCGUGAGUGCAAAAAUCUGAAGAUCAUCAAAGGUAAGCGAUUAAUUUUAUUGCUUUUCUGACUUUCGUGACCAAUCUACUUGGCUGCUAGCUGUUUGUAAUAUUUUGUCUACUGAGAGAGUUGUCCUUACAUAAACGCUUGGUAUGCUUUCGCCGAAAAGCUUUUUUGAAAUAUGACAUGCCAGGUGGAUUAACAACAAGCUAAACUGUGUUUUGCUAUAUUGCACUUGUGAUUUCAUGAAAAUUAAAUAUUUUUAGUAAUUUAAUUUGAAUUUGGCGCUCUGAAAUUCAGCGGAUGUUGAUGAAAAUGAUCCCGCUAAUGGGAUGGGUGCAUCAAGAAGUUAAACUCUUGAAACUCUGGGGGCGGUAAUUUCAUUUUUGGAUAAAAAACGUUCCCGUUUUAAAACGGGAUAUUUUGUCACGACAAGAUGCUAGACUAUCCAUAUAAUUGACAGCUUUGAAUAGAAAACACUCUAACUUUUCCAAAACUGCAAAUAUAUUGUCUGUGAGUAUAACAGAACUGAUGUUACAGGCGAAAACCAGAUAAAAAUCCAAUCAGGAAGUGCCCCAUAUUUUGAAAGAGCCGCAUGCCAAUGACUCCUUAUAUGGCUGUGAAUUGCGUAAAGUACAGAGGCAGCCAUUAUUCCAAUCGCUUCUAAUGAGAAGCCAAUUGUCCCGGUGGAUAUAUUAUCGAAUAGAUAUGUGAAAAACACCUUGAGGAUUGAUUCUAAAUAACGUUUGCCAUGUUUCUGUCGAUAUUAUGGAGCUAAUUUGGAAAAAAGUUUGGCGUUGUAGUGACCGCAUUUUCCGGUCGAUUUCUCAGCCAAACGUGAAGAACAAACAGAGCUAUUUCGCCUACAAAAAUAAUAUUUUAGGAAAAAAGGAACAUUUGCUAUCUAACUGGGAGUCUCGUGAGUGAAACCAUCCAAAGUUCUUCAAAGGUAAAUGAUUUAAUUUGAUUGCUUUUCUUAUUUUCGUGAAAAUGUUGCCUGCUGCUAGCAGGGCAUAAUGCUAUGCUAGGCUAUGAUAAACUUACACAAAUGCUUGUCUAGCUUUGGCUGUAAAGCAUAUUUUGAAAAUCUGAGAUGACAGGGUGAUUAACAAAAGGCUAAGCUGUGUUCCAAUAUAUUUAACUUGUGAUUUUCAUGAAUAGGAAUAUUUUUCUUAUGUCCGUUGCGUUAUGCUAAUUAGUUAUUUAUGGGAUUUCUACAUAGGAGGCCCAUUUUCAGCAACCAUCAAUCCUGUGUUCCAAUGGCACGUUGUGUUAGCUAAUCCAAGUUUAUCAUUUUAAGAGGCUAAUUGAUCAUUAGAUAACCCUUUUGCUAUUAUCUUAGCACAGCUGAAAACUGUUUUCUGAUUAAAGAUGCAAUAAAACUGGCCUUUAGACUAGUGGGUUCGAUUACAGGCUCAAAUAUUUUUAGAAACAGAACUUUCUUCUGAAACUAGACAAUAUAUUCUUGUUCUGAGAAAUGAAGGCUAUUCCAUGCGAGAAAUUGCCAAGAAACGGAAGAUCCCGUACAAUGCUGUGUACUACUCCCUUCACAGAACAGCGCAAACUGUCUCUAACCAGAAUAGAAAGAGGAGUGGGAGGCUCCGGUGCAGUCAUUUACAACACUAACAAUGUCUACACUGUAUUUCUGAUCAAUUUGAUGUUAUUUUAAUGGACAAAAAAUGUGCUUAUCUUUCAAAAACAAGGUUAUGUCUAAGUGACCCCAAACGUUUUAACGGUAGUGUAUAUACUGAAUAAAAGUAUAAACGCA